UUUAUUCUCUUUUUCAUCAAGAGCGAUAAGACCAUCUCUUGGGUGGAAAAGAUGUUUCUGGGAGACGGACGAGUAUUCACUGGCUGCUCAGUCAGUUGGAGGCCGUCAACCGCGGGGUGCUGCGGAGUUUUCCAAAGAUGAGAAGAGGAGGUAAUGUGCUCCUUGCUUCCGGUGACAUUGCUGUUUGGUUAGGAGGGCUAACAGGAGAGAGGGGAAAAAGAGGUUCCAGCUCCCUCAUAUAACGGCUCUACAGUCAUGCACCCCGGUCCUUGGCAGCACUGUAAAUUCCUUCUCUCUGAAUUGUUGGUUCGGGACAAUCAUUCAGCAGGGAAUUACUUUCUCAUCUAUGAAAUAA
rnacentral:lncRNA from 1 species